rnacentral:tRNA from 1 species
AGUUCUGGGGCGUUAACACGUCGGAUUGCAAGUCCGGAGGUGCAGCUGAGCCUGCUGGGACUU